rnacentral:lncRNA from 1 species
AUGCUUGUUGGAUUUAAUCAGAGAUCUACUUGUUUACUGUUGCUGUUUUUGAUUUAACUCUUGAUGUUUUUGAUCCUUUGUUAAUUUGUUUGGGAUGUUUUCCUGUAUGUGAUGUGAAGUUAAUACUUCACCCAUUCCAAAAGGAAUCAACUUUGAGUCAUCUGAAAUAGAUAAUUGUAAGUAGCGUAGCAUAAAAUAGUGAAAUUUGACUCCCUCAAGGAAAUGAAUCAACAACAUCAAACAAAGUAACCCUGCAACUCCUUUUUACUUGUGUAGUGUGUAUCUUGUGCUCCCUUUAAGAAAAUAUUAUUUAAGUUUCUUUAUCUGAAUUAUCCUUAUGAAUGUUAUGAGUAAUUUAAAUUAGUGCUAUCACCUUUAAAAUCCAAUAUUAACAGAAGCAGUGAUUUGAAUUUGAGAGUUUCAAUUUGAACUUAGUAAUUGAAACCAACUAGUAAUUGGAGCCAGAAUGUUUUAACAUUAAUAUUCCGUCCUUUCCUUUUUACUUGUCCAGUAUGUUAGGUAGAUUUUUCUUUUUACUUGUCCGAUCUAGCAAAUUAAAAGAGAAUUAAUUGAUUUUCCAUUUUUACCCUUAUCAAGUAACUAUCUCAAUACUUGCCGAAGUGAUAGGAGUGAAAUUUAGUUUUCCAAAGCAUAUUAAUUGCGAUGGGCAACUACAGCAGCUUCAAUUUCCCAAGCCGACGCAACAAUACUAUGGAGUAGUAUCUUGUCUUCACUAUAUAAAUUACUUUUACCCUAGAUAUUCAUUCUAUGCUAUGGAGUACUAUGAUGCAUGUGGGUUUGAGUCAUUCCCAUCCCAAGUGGUGCGCGAUUCAGCCUGGUCGGUCAGGAAGAGAUUCACCUAGAGACUAUUGCUAUUUUGAGAAUAUGUUUCUAUUUUAGCUAGUGGAGGCGGCUACCCUAUCAUAGUCUUAUUGUGGCGUGUAAGUGGCCAUCCCAUCACUUAGUACUCCCGUAGAACCAAUAUCCUGAGUAAAAAACAAUUUAUAUACUGGAGCCAAAAUGGGAAGUUGUUGUAGUUGCCCAUUGCAAUUACAAAUAGGUUGGGGAAACUUGGAAAAUUGCUACUUAAUGAUAAGGGUAAAAUUGAGUACAAAUUAGUCUCUCUUGAUUUGCUGAAGUGGACAAGUAAAAUAAAAAAAAUAUAUUUUAGUAUACUAGACAAGUAAAGAAGCAAUGGGUUGGUAUUAAUGUUUCAAACAUUGUGGCUCCAAUUACUAAGAUUCAAGUUGAAACAUAUUGUUUCAAAUCAUUGCUUCUGUUGCUAGAAUGGAGAUUUAAAAGUAUAGUAUUAAUAGAGAUUAAUGAGAGGUAAUCUAGUAAGAUAAAUACUUAAUUAAUAUUUUCUUAAGGGGUGUGCAAAAUGCAUAUUGAACAAACAAAAAGGAGCAGGGGGAGUAUUACUUUGUUUACUGUAGUUGAUUCAUUUCCUUGAGGUGACAUAUUUGCUGUUUCACCACUUGGUCUUAACUGUGUUUACUGGUGAUGUUAAUUAUAUUUUAAAGAUAAGCCUGUAUUCUAGUUUUUGCUUAUAAUUCGUAUGAUCAGAAAUUCUGCUAAUUUAAUUAACUAUGAUUUUGUUUUUGCGCGAAAUCGGUGGAUUCCGAAACUCUCAAUUAUUUCAAUAAGCAGGUCUAAAUGAAACGAAAUGGUUUCACUAUUCUUCACACCAUACCUCAACUAGUUUGAGAUUGAGGUGUAGUUGUUAUUGAUCGAGCAUGAUUGAGUUGAUGUGUCUGUUAUGCUUAUGAUUCAGAAAUGGAAAACCAACAUGUAAUAAUAUUAUGUCAUGCAAAUUUAUGGAUUCAUGGUUUGGAAUAGCAUCUCAUGUGUUAGAUAAGUAUGAAGAUUGGCUAGUUAGGUACUUUCCCAUAAUCUAUUUUCAAGGAUUUAAGACUGUCUUUUCUAAAGUUGC